rnacentral:rRNA from 1 species
AGACCCGAAACCCGGUGAUCUAGCCAUGGGCAGGUUGAAGGUUGGGUAACACUAACUGGAGGACCGAACCGACUAAUGUUGAAAAAUUAGCGGAUGACCUGUGGCUGGGGGUGAAAGGCCAAUCAAACCGGGAGAUAGCUGGUUCUCCCCGAAAGCUAUUUAGGUAGCGCCUCGUGAAUUCAUCUCCGGGGGUAGAGCACUGUUUCGGCUAGGGGGCCAUCCCGGCUUACCAACCCGAUGCAAACUGCGAAUACCGGAGAAUGUUAUCACGGGAGACACACGGCGGGUGCUAACGUCCGUCGUGAAGAGGGAAACAACCCAGACCGCCAGCUAAGGUCCCAAAGUCAUGGUUAAGUGGGAAACGAUGUGGGAAGGCCCAGACAGCCAGGAUGUUGGCUUAGAAGCAGCCAUCAUUUAAAGAAAGCGUAAUAGCUCACUGGUCGAGUCGGCCUGCGCGGAAGAUGUAACGGGGCUAAACCAUGCACCGAAGCUGCGGCAGCGACGCUGAUGCGUUGUUGGGUAGGGGAGCGUUCUG